AUGGCGGAGAUGGUCAGUUCCGCGGUUGUCGAGGAGACAUUAAACCAGAUCGUAUCUGGUCUGAUUGACAGGCAUGAAGAGAGACCAGAGCGGACCGAGCAGAUGGAGAGGCUGGAGAUGGCGCACAUCAAGCUGGAGGCGGCGCUCGAGACAUCCGGCAAGUGGCAGAUCAACGACGCGUCGCUGCUCCGCUGGCGCCACAAGCUGAAGCGUGCGGCCCAGGAGUGCGACGCCGCGCUGCGCAAGUGCAAGCAGCGCGCCGUGGAAGACGAGGAGGAGGAGGAGGCGGUCAGGGGCUCCUCCUUCCCUAGGCGGCUGGCCCAUGCCACCAAGUCGUUCGUGACCGGUUUCUUCCGCCGUGACACCGGCGGCGGCGCAUCUGUCCGGAGGUUCGAGUGGUUCGCCGACGGCGCCAACGAGUUCCUGAGGUUCGUCGAGCUCGGCGGCACGCCACGCGGGUACAUGUUCUUCGACCCUCUCAUCGGGCGCCUCCUCGCCGGCCAAGAGCUACGUUACAGGCUCGUCCGGGGAAGCCAGUACCACCUGUUCUGCGUCCGCCCCAUCAGCUUCGAGGACCGCGGGGUGGAGGCCAAGAUGCUGUUCGUGUACGAGGACGACGAGGCGCCGGAGAAGAACCUGUGCCUGGGCUCCAUCCUGCGCCUCUCGGAGAGCACGGACGUCGUCGGGAUCACCAUCAAGUGCUUGCAGCUGGUGACCCCUCAUUUCAGGUCCACGGCGGAGUCGGCGAGGAAGGAGCUCGCCGGGCUGCCCACGCAGGACUUCUCCUGGGUGCCGUACCUCGACUCCAGCCACCAGGAUCACUGGAACAGCAUCCACAGCAGCCUGACCCAAUGGUUCCGUCCGAACCCACUCUGCUGCAAGCACCAGCACGACGAGCUCCAGCCCCGCACCAGCAGCACAACGAGACCGUCAGAUGUCUCUCUAGAGCCGGUCAUCGAGGUGUUCCUGCAGCGCCACAUCCCGCUGUCCGAGUACAACGUGCACAGAAGCAAGAGCGCUAUCCAAGGCGAGAGGGGCUGUCUGAAAGACGUGCCACACCUGAAACUCGGGCUGCUCUUCUCCCCCCAUGGAUCUUCAGAGGACCUGGUGCCGGCGGUCGAGAGCUCCGCGAUCGAGGUGAUCGACGGCGAGGAGCAGAGCGGCAUGCACACAAACAUCAGCCUGGAGCAGCUGGACGAGGUGAUGCUGCCCAAGGCGAUAGAUUGCCUCUACAAGAGGCCCGAGGCCACGGCGUACCAGAUGUUCUGGAAGUCCAAGCACGGCACCGCAUUCCUGCAGGUUGAGAAGACGAGCUUGGUGAAGAUGCCGUCGACGAGGAUUGGAGAGGCUGGGACAAGAAGGUUGGCGAUCCAGCGACGCCGAGAUCCGAAGCUCGAGAGGUGGAUACAGGUGGUCAUAGACUUCCUCAAUCUCUGGGUUGCACACGCACCCCAAAAGCUGCGGAGCUCAUUCAUCGAAUGGAUUCACAAGGCCAAUGAAAUGAAACAAGCGCCGCAGCAAAGACCUACUGCUUCAUACUAG
rnacentral:rRNA from 1 species